rnacentral:lncRNA from 1 species
UUUCGGCUGCGCUCACGUGAGGUUGUUCGGCAAGAUGCGGUCGUGCCCGAUUUUCGGCUGCACUCACGUGAGGUUGUUCCGGAAGAUGCGGUCGUGCCUGAUUUUCGGCUGCACUCACGUGAGGUUGUUCGGGAAGAUGCGGUCGUGCCUGAUUUUCGGCUGCACUCACGUGAGGUUGUUCGGGAAGAUGCGGUCGUGCCUGAUUUUCGGCUGCACUCACGUGAGGUUGUUCGGGAAGAUGCGGUCGUGCCUGAUUUUCGGCUGCACUCACGUGAGGU